CAGCAUUAGAGAAGGUUCAUUUACACUGAUUGGCAGCAAACCGAUUACCUAAGAAGCUUAAUUAAUGGAAGUCCCAAGAGUUGCUAUCUGUGCACUGAAGAACUGUUUUUCCAACAUUCACUCAUCUAUCUGCUGUUUGUAAAAGGCACAGAGCAAGAGGGAGAUUUUUGCUAAUCAAGGAGAAAGCACCUGAUGAAGCAAGGCAGAUGAAUGGCUGUUCUUGAGGAUGCAUGUAUAAUUCAUAUAAUUUCAUCUUGGAUCCUUGAGUGCUACCAACACUGGACUAAAAUGAAGUUUUCAAAUGAGGUGCAUAUCACAGAGACAGUGGAAAUUAAGCAUUUUGAAAGACUCAAGA